GACGAACCGUACGAACGUUAUUCGGAAUCACUGGGCUUAAAGGGUGCGUAGGCGGCGCAGAAAGUUGGGUGUGAAAUCCCUCGGCUCAACCGAGGAACUGCGCCCAAAACUACUGUACGCUCGAGGGAGACAGAGGUGAGCGGAACUUAGGGUGGAGCGGUGAAAUGUGUUGAUAUCGGAAGGAACGCCGGUGGCGAAAGCGACACACUGGGUCUCAACUGACGCUGAGGCACGAAAGCCAGGGGAGCGAACGGG
rnacentral:rRNA from 1 species